UUAAGCGACUAAGCGUACACGGUGGAUGCCCUGGCAGUCAGAGGCGAUGAAGGACGUGCUAAUCUGCGAUAAGCGUCGGUAAGGUGAUAUGAACCGUUAUAACCGGCGAUUUCCGAAUGGGGAAACCCAGUGUGUUUCGACACACUAUCAUUAACUGAAUCCAUAGGUUAAUGAGGCGAACCGGGGGAACUGAAACAUCUAAGUACCCCGAGGAAAAGAAAUCAACCGAGAUUCCCCCAGUAGCGGCGAGCGAACGGGGAGCAGCCCAGAGCCUGAAUCAGUGUGUGUGUUAGUGGAAGCGUCUGGAAAGGCGCGCGAUACAGGGUGACAGCCCCGUACACAAAAAUGCACAUAUUGUGAGCUCGAUGAGUAGGGCGGGACACGUGGUAUCCUGUCUGAAUAUGGGGGGACCAUCCUCCAAGGCUAAAUACUCCUGACUGACCGAUAGUGAACCAGUACCGUGAGGGAAAGGCGAAAAGAACCCCGGCGAGGGGAGUGAAAAAGAACCUGAAACCGUGUACGUACAAGCAGUGGGAGCACGCUUAGGCGUGUGACUGCGUACCUUUUGUAUAAUGGGUCAGCGACUUAUAUUCUGUAGCAAGGUUAACCGAAUAGGGGAGCCGAAGGGAAACCGAGUCUUAACUGGGCGUUAAGUUGCAGGGUAUAGACCCGAAACCCGGUGAUCUAGCCAUGGGCAGGUUGAAGGUUGGGUAACACUAACUGGAGGACCGAACCGACUAAUGUUGAAAAAUUAGCGGAUGACUUGUGGCUGGGGGUGAAAGGCCAAUCAAACCGGGAGAUAGCUGGUUCUCCCCGAAAGCUAUUUAGGUAGCGCCUCGUGAACUCAUCUCCGGGGGUAGAGCACUGUUUCGGCAAGGGGGUCAUCCCGACUUACCAACCCGAUGCAAACUGCGAAUACCGGAGAAUGUUAUCACGGGAGACACACGGCGGGUGCUAACGUCCGUCGUGAAGAGGGAAACAACCCAGACCGCCAGCUAAGGUCCCAAAGUCAUGGUUAAGUGGGAAACGAUGUGGGAAGGCCCAGACAGCCAGGAUGUUGGCUUAGAAGCAGCCAUCAUUUAAAGAAAGCGUAAUAGCUCACUGGUCGAGUCGGCCUGCGCGGAAGAUGUAACGGGGCUAAACCAUGCACCGAAGCUGCGGCAGCGACGCUGAUGCGUUGUUGGGUAGGGGAGCGUUCUGUAAGCCUGUGAAGGUGUGCUGUGAGGCAUGCUGGAGGUAUCAGAAGUGCGAAUGCUGACAUAAGUAACGAUAAAGCGGGUGAAAAGCCCGCUCGCCGGAAGACCAAGGGUUCCUGUCCAACGUUAAUCGGGGCAGGGUGAGUCGACCCCUAAGGCGAGGCCGAAAGGCGUAGUCGAUGGGAAACAGGUUAAUAUUCCUGUACUUGGUGUUACUGCGAAGGGGGGACGGAGAAGGCUAUGUUGGCCGGGCGACGGUUGUCCCGGUUUAAGCGUGUAGGCUGGUUUUCCAGGCAAAUCCGGAAAAUCAAGGCUGAGGCGUGAUGACGAGGCACUACGGUGCUGAAGCAACAAAUGCCCUGCUUCCAGGAAAAGCCUCUAAGCAUCAGGUAACAUCAAAUCGUACCCCAAACCGACACAGGUGGUCAGGUAGAGAAUACCAAGGCGCUUGAGAGAACUCGGGUGAAGGAACUAGGCAAAAUGGUGCCGUAACUUCGGGAGAAGGCACGCUGAUAUGUAGGUGAAGCGACUUGCUCGUGGAGCUGAAAUCAGUCGAAGAUACCAGCUGGCUGCAACUGUUUAUUAAAAACACAGCACUGUGCAAACACGAAAGUGGACGUAUACGGUGUGACGCCUGCCCGGUGCCGGAAGGUUAAUUGAUGGGGUCAGCGCAAGCGAAGCUCUUGAUCGAAGCCCCGGUAAACGGCGGCCGUAACUAUAACGGUCCUAAGGUAGCGAAAUUCCUUGUCGGGUAAGUUCCGACCUGCACGAAUGGCGUAAUGAUGGCCAGGCUGUCUCCACCCGAGACUCAGUGAAAUUGAACUCGCUGUGAAGAUGCAGUGUACCCGCGGCAAGACGGAAAGACCCCGUGAACCUUUACUAUAGCUUGACACUGAACAUUGAGCCUUGAUGUGUAGGAUAGGUGGGAGGCUUAGAAGUGUGGACGCCAGUCUGCAUGGAGCCGACCUUGAAAUACCACCCUUUAAUGUUUGAUGUUCUAACGUUGACCCGUAAUCCGGGUUGCGGACAGUGUCUGGUGGGUAGUUUGACUGGGGCGGUCUCCUCCUAAAGAGUAACGGAGGAGCACGAAGGUUGGCUAAUCCUGGUCGGACAUCAGGAGGUUAGUGCAAUGGCAUAAGCCAGCUUGACUGCGAGCGUGACGGCGCGAGCAGGUGCGAAAGCAGGUCAUAGUGAUCCGGUGGUUCUGAAUGGAAGGGCCAUCGCUCAACGGAUAAAAGGUACUCCGGGGAUAACAGGCUGAUACCGCCCAAGAGUUCAUAUCGACGGCGGUGUUUGGCACCUCGAUGUCGGCUCAUCACAUCCUGGGGCUGAAGUAGGUCCCAAGGGUAUGGCUGUUCGCCAUUUAAAGUGGUACGCGAGCUGGGUUUAGAACGUCGUGAGACAGUUCGGUCCCUAUCUGCCGUGGGCGCUGGAGAACUGAGGGGGGCUGCUCCUAGUACGAGAGGACCGGAGUGGACGCAUCACUGGUGUUCGGGUUGUCAUGCCAAUGGCACUGCCCGGUAGCUAAAUGCGGAAGAGAUAAGUGCUGAAAGCAUCUAAGCACGAAACUUGCCCCGAGAUGAGUUCUCCCUGACCCUUUAAGGGUCCUGAAGGAACGUUGAAGACGACGACGUUGAUAGGCCGGGUGUGUAAGCGCAGCGAUGCGUUGAGCUAACCGGUACUAAUGAACCGUGAGGCUUAACCU
rnacentral:rRNA from 1 species